rnacentral:rRNA from 1 species
GACGAACGCUGGCGGCGUGCUUAACACAUGCAAGUCGAACGGAAAGGCCCUGCUUUUGUGGGGUGCUCGAGUGGCGAACGGGUGAGUAACACGUGAGUAACCUGCCCUUGACUUUGGGAUAACUUCAGGAAACUGGGGCUAAUACCGGAUAGGAGCUCCUGCUGCAUGGUGGGGGUUGGAAAGUUUCGGCGGUUGGGGAUGGACUCGCGGCUUAUCAGCUUGUUGGUGGGGUAGUGGCUUACCAAGGCUUUGACGGGUAGCCGGCCUGAGAGGGUGACCGGCCACAUUGGGACUGAGAUACGGACCAGUCUCCUACGGGAGGCAACAGUGGGGAAUAUUGCACAAUGGGGGGAAGCCUGUUGCAGAAACGCCGCGUGCGGGAUAACGGCCUUCGGGUUGUAAACCGCUUUCGCCUGUGACGAAGCGUGAGUGACGGUAAUGGGUAAAGAAGCACCGGCUAACUACGUG